GAAGCUGCGAAGAUGGCGGAGUAAGGCGUGCCGCUGCAAACUGGCCUCUGGGCCGGGGGCGAGCAGCCCCCGGGAGGCCGAGUGCAUCUGUUGGACCGUGCGAGGAGAAGAAAAAAAAUAUCGGCCAGAGGAGAGGAACUAACCGAACAUUCUUCCUCCCUACCUUAUAGAGGGGAGUGGUCAUCUACACUAAAGCAAAGUGUUAGGCGCGUCCGUGCGAAGAGACCACCAAACAGGCUUUGUGUUCCUUAUCACAGGAAGAAAAUUUUCCUUGACCUUUAGGUGCUUUUAUAUUCAUCUCAAAAACAAAAUUCUGAACUCAGGACUUGGCAAACCACCGCUGAAACUUCACUUCUACACAGAGGCUUUCUUUCCCAGAAACCCAGACCAGAUGGAGUUUCACUCUGUCGCCCAGGCUGGAGUGCAGUGGCACGAUCUCGGCUGACUGCAGCCUCUACCUGCUGGGUUCAAGCAAUUCUUCUGCCUCAGGUUCCUGAGUAGCUGGGAUUACAGAGAUGGGGUUUCACUGUGUUAGCCAGGAUGGUCUCCAUCUCCUGACCUCAUGUUCUGCUCGCCUUGGCCUACCAAAGUGCUGGGAUUACAGGCGUGAGCCACCACGCCCGGCCAGGAAUUCUUAAUAACUGUUUCAUCACUCUUAUGUCUGAGACAGUUGAGCAAUUACAAGGUAUUUGCAAAGAAGACACCUCUAUGGCAAGAUGAUGAUAUCCAUUCCCAGCACAAAGGAGAAUGCAGGAGUGCAGCAGUUGAGCAGCUUUUCCUUUCUUCCUGAACUAUACCUUACAGUGUGGUUUUAGUAUUUUGUUUUUCAUUACAAAUUCAAUAGGGAAGGUCAAAUCAAGUAAAAAGGAUUAUUGAGCAUCAUGCCAUUUCAUCAUCCCCAAGUUCAUUGGUAGAAGUUAUCAAGAGUUGUCUGUAUUUUAAAAAAGCAUACAACCAUCAUGAAAUUUUACCUCUGCAAUCUUUUCUGAUAGAGGAACAUUUUGAAUAUCCAUCUCUGAUGCAUUUACUAUGGCUUUUGUUUUUAAGAGAUAGCUAGAUAGGAAAAAAGAAAAAUAUUAGUGUCAUACCAUGGUUAAGAUUAUAAAAGAACCAAACUUACCUUCUAAAGAAA
rnacentral:lncRNA from 1 species